CCCCCCUGCUGUGGGUGAUGGCUUAUCUUAAGUGAUCACUCUCCUUACAGUGUGUAUGAUAAACCCAUUGUUUCAUGUUCUCUGUGUGUGUGUGUGUGGGUCUCUCCUCUGUUUUUUCCACCGGGUGCGUCCGAUGGGGUGGGCUGUGGCUCGCGAGGGCUUGUGCUCUAGUGGAUUUGUUGGUCUCUGGGGUGCCACAGGUACUCCUUUUCUUUUUGCGAAUGCAGACUGGCACGGCUGCUACUCUGAAGCCUUUAAAGAGAGGGAGAUCAUUGCAGGGGAGCUAUUA